UAGUCCAUGGGGUCACAAAGAGUUGGACAUGACUGGGAGAAAUGUCAAUAACCUGCGAUAUGCAGAUGACUCCACCCUUAUGUGAGAAAGUGAAGAGGAACUAAAAAGCCUCUUGAUAAAAGUGAAAGAAGAGAGUGAAAAAGUUGGCUUAAAGCUGAACAUUCA